rnacentral:lncRNA from 1 species
AAAGAGCAGAUGGUUAUUUUUUGGGAAGGUUUACAGAAGUAGUCUGAUGCUCACACUGAUUGUUCAUUCAUGAGAAAUUACAACCAACUGUUUACCAACAUUGCGGCCUCCAAAGAGCCCCAACAGUGCUGCUGGAGCAUUCUCAAGUCCUUCAGCUUUAUCCUCCACAUAAGUGAUCUUCCCAUCCUUUAUAUACUCGCCAAUAAUCUCCUCAAACUGAUGAUAUUUAUGAAAAAAAUCGCUAAACAGGAACCCUUCCAUUCUGAUGCGCUUUGUGACGAGGUAUAAUGAGUUGUGCACACCCUCAGGUUUCUCGAGGUUGUAUUGAGAAAUCAUUCCACAUCCUGCGAUCCGACCAUGGGUCCUCAUGUUGAUAAGAACAGCAUCCAGCAUUGGACCACCAACAUUCUCGAAGUAGAUGUCGAUACCUUCGGGAAACAACCUGAAAAGAAAGACUUCAUUAGAUUGUUGUUGGAAAGAAAUUGUUACUGCUCUUCUUCACACUGUAAAAUUAAAUGACCUAACAAACAAUACUCAGGGGACAGAGCUAUCUAUCUAAUACCAGCUUGCCACUAUUUAUAUUUGGAUUUUUUGUAUGAGUAUUCUUCCAAAAUUGAUAUUUGCAUGUAUACCCUCGUAAAACUCUGUUAUUGUACAGAUGCCCGUAAUAUAAUAGUUGUUUUAACGGUGUUAAGAAAAAUUAUAUUUAUAUUAAUUAAAAAUAAAAAAAUUUUUAAAAUUACGCAAUUGUUCCUGUGUUAUUCCUCUGCUAUCGGAAUCGCGAUCUAUUUGCAUGUCUACCCAUUAAGGAUAUUUUAAUUAUUUUAAUUUGAAACCGUUAAUUUUUUAACGUCGUUAAAUAGCAUUGGUACAUAUGCAAAAACAAAAAGAAAAAAAAGGGUUGGAUGGCAAAACAAGUAUUUUAUGACGGUAUACAUGCAAAUAUCAAUUUUGGAAGGAUAUUCAAGCAAAAUUUGAUAUUUAAGAAGCUAUUCAUGCAAAAAACCCUGUACAUUAUUAUAACAACAGAUUCUCUUUGGUCCAAUAUAUGGAUCCACAACCUGGGUAAAUGAUAGUCCAAAUAAAUUGAAGGCAACUCCAUGUUCUCCGAACUACAAUAACUAGACCAUGGAUGGACCUGCAUUAUGCAAACAUCCUACAUAAAAGCGCCCGCCAAUCACGGAUCAUCACAAAUUCCAUCGCAGAGAUUUUCAGAAAUCAGGACAGUUGGAAUUGAAGCUAAGAUGCAUAUCAAGUUAGUCAUAAGAAAACAGAAAAAGAACACAUCCACUGUGAAACAUUUCGGGUUAUCGAUGGUGCAUUAUUCUAAUAGGGAUUGGGGACCUACAAAAUUGCAGCAUUUUUCAAUAUCUAAGCCCCGGAGGUUGCUUGCAUAAUAAAUUGCAGCUGAAAAGAUAUCUAAGGAAAUUUGAUGUGAAGUGCUCCCAGAAACACUCCCAUUCUCUAUAUUCUGAAAAACAAAAUUUGGGUAACCUGAAUCCAAUGCAUGAAACCUGAAGUUAACAAAUAAUAUAUAGGUGCACUCUGUUAAGAAUUCCUUGCCCAUUUUAAAUGAAUCUUCAUGUGCAGGUUCUAGCCUCAUGCCUAAUCAAUUUUUUGUAUUUCUUAUGUGUUUCAGCAAUUCCUCCUAUCCAAAAUUUGAGAACCCAAGUCACAGUCUUACAAACCUUUUCAUCAGAACCAGCACUUCCAACCACGUAACAGCCCAUUAAUUUGGCAAGCUGCCCAACAAGCUGUCCAACGGCACCUGAUGCAGCAGAGACAAAGACAUAUUCCCCUUUCUUUGGCGAGCUGAUCUCAUGAAAUCCAAUAUAAGCUGUGAACCCUGCCAUGCCUGAAUAUGAAAAUAGUGAUGUCAGAAGCCAUAUGACAAAUUGCACGGGAAGCACGGAAACUAAGGAACAGAACUAUUCUACCAAAGUUCAGUGACAUUCUUUUUCUUCACCAUAGUGAUUACUUGAUCUACAUCUGGUUUAGUACACUUNNNNNNNNNNNNNNNNNNNNNNNNNNNNNNNNNNNNNNNNNNNNNNNNNNNNNNNNNNNNNNNNNNNNNNNNNNNNNNNNNUUUUUUUUCUUUUCUGAACACGGUUUCAGGUAUCUGCCUCAGCAGGCAAUCCUUGAUCCAGAUGAUAUAAUUCACAUAUGGCCUUACUCAUCCCUGAACAUUUCCAUUAUCAUUAAUAGGUAAUACCAAGGAUUUUUUUUGAUAAAAAAACUAACACUGAUAUUCCAUAUUCCAUACCAUGUUAGAUGUUAAUGAUUUUCAGUAUCAUUUUGCCAUUGUUGCAAGAUUUACAACCACAGUUGUUAAACAACAAUGUAGCACAACUGUCAAAUCAGAAGAACCUUAAAGUAGCAUAUAACGAUAUCAAAGAAUGACUACUGUUUAAUGGUUAUGUAUUCAACAUAUUCGGAUGGCGAAUACCAGAUUUGUAGGCAUUUUGCUGAACAAACAACCUACCAAGAAGGCCAGUGUGAUAGGAAAGGGGUACAUCAGUGUAUCUGAUCUUGAAAAGCCUCUCUGUUUCUGUGAUGAGGCUAUACUCUUCCCAUCCAGUCAUGCCCCACACAAAGUCACCUACCUUGAAAUCUGGAUGGCUAGAAUCCACCACUUUACCCACCGUAAAACCAGUUAUGACCUGUACAAUGAAAGAAGAAAAAAGAUGAACAUGGAGAGAUAGGGAACCUUAAAAUGUAAGCCCAUAAGUAGAAGUUCCAUGAUGGCAAUUUUGUCCGAAACAGCUUUAGCUUGAUUGGGGAAAUGGAUGGCCUUUUACUUUAACAAGUUCAAAAAAAACUAGCUAUUCUUCGAGCUCUAAUGAUGCAGCAAACAUGAAUUACAGAGAAUAUGACUCUUUAACCCAAUGUAGGAACCCAAAUAAUACCAUAUCGGUUAUUUGCUAAGUAGAUCUUGGGUAUUUAUACAGGAUUAAGAAAUCCAAAUAAUACCUUCCAGCUAGCUAUUUUGAGUGAAGUUCUGGGUUGUUACAAAUGGUAUAUCAGAGCGAAUCUACUCAUAACCUAUGUGGACUAGAGGAUACUGUAGCACGCAUCCAUUAGGACUGACGACAAGCCGAUCAUGGUAUUUGUUAUUAGAUUUGAAUGGAUUUGAACCCUUAGCAUGACGAGGACGUCGCGGCUUGAACGAAGGGAGUAUGUCAGGACCCAUGCGGGCAUGUGUUUAGUCCCACAUCGGUUAUUUGCUGGGUAGAUCUUAAGUACUUAUACAAGAUCAAAUAAUAACUUCCAACUAGUCAUUUUGGGUGAGGUCCUAGGUUGUUACAAUAUUACUAUAGAACUAGCAAUAUUAAAUGAGAUAAAUUUCUCAGUGGAUUAAAACGACUAAAGACGUGCUAAAAAUAUUUUUUAUUAGAGAAGAGAAAAACUUACACAUGCACAUGCACACACUCCCUUCCCCGGGACGACACGCAGCAAACAAAUCCACAAGAACAAACAAGUUCUGAAAAGAACCAUCAAAUUCUCGGUAGUUUUGUGCCUUUUCUAAAAGGUCGUUAGCACUGUACAAUAGAACGAGUCAACGCGUGUGCUAAUCGUAAGAAAAACUGCAGCACAAAGUUGUCGGAUGCUACUUUGAGUAUACGACACAAGCAACNNNNNNNNNNNNNNNNNNNNNNNNNNNNNNNNNNNNNNNNNNNNNNNNNNNNNNNNNNNNNNNNNNNNNNNNNNNNNNNNNNNNNNNNNNNNNNNNNNNNNNNNNNNGGGCUCGUUUGGUUCGCGGGCUCGUUUGGUUCGCGGGAAGUAUUUUUCUUCAUAGGAAUAUGAUUUCUGAAAAAUAGAUUCUUAGGAAGAGAAUGCCUAGAAAAGUACUUUUGGCAUGUUUGGUUGACCAUGGGAAAGUGAUAAAUUUCCAAAGUGCUUAUGUUUGGUUGACCAUCCAUUUUCCUAGAAAAGUUAUGUAUAAUUCCUAUUAUACCUUUAAUAAAAAUUAGAUUUUUAAUGUCUUUAAUGCUGAAGGGUCUUUUUGGAAAAAAAAAAGGGUAUGAUUUCCGCCUCAUGGGAAAGACUUUUCCAUGAAAUGUGGGAAUCAUACUCCCAUGUGAAUACAACUUUUUCGUCUCUCUUCUUUGAAAACUCCAACCAAAUAAGAGGCAUCUUAUUACUUUUCCAUUGACCAUACAUUCCACCCUUCUUUUCCCGCGAACCAAACGAGCCCUUAGUAUUUAUUAUAUUUAUAUGGCAUACCGAGCCGGAGACGUAGGAGGGCUCGUCGUGCUUGCUCAUACGCGACCGCAUAUAAGGGUCGCAGGAGAGGUACAGGUUCUUGAGCAGCACCGCCUUGGAUCCCGCGGGGACCUUCAAUCGGACGGUGUCCGUCGUCACGAUCUCCAUGUCGCUCUCCUUGGGGAAACCCGCCGUUAUGAAGUCCUUCAACGCAACCUUCUUAUUCGCCCUCACCUCCGCCAUCGCGCUCUCUCUCCCGCACUCCCUCUCCCCCUGCGGGCUUUAGGGAAGGCCUAUGGACGAGGUUUCGUGAUAUUAAGUACUUCACGCAGAAGGCUCUUGAAAUUUACUAUCGUAAUGCUUAUAAUAUUAUAAUAUUUAGUAUAACUAUUGCAAUGGUUCCUGUAAAUUAACUAUUGUAAAUUUGUAAUGAUUGAGCAGCCGUUGUAAAAUAUAUAUAUAUAUAUAAUAAAAAAACUAUAGAUGAGGAUUCGUGAUAUUAUGUAUUAUAAUAUUUAUUAUAAUUAUUGUAACAGUUGCUGUAAAUUAACUAUUAUGAUGAUUGCGCAGCCUGUGUAAAAUAUAUAUAUAUAUUUAUAUAUAAAAUUAUAAUAUUUAUUAUAACUAUAGAUGAGGAUUCGUGAUAUUAUGUAUUAUAAUAUUUAUUAUAAUUAUUGUAAUGGUUGCUGUAACUUAACUAUUGUAAUGAUUGAGCGGCCGGUGUAAAUAUAAAUAUAUAUAUAUAUAUAUAUAAUAUUAUUAUUAUAUUUAUUGUAACUAUAGAUGAGGAUUCGUGAUAUUAUGUAUUGUAAUAUUUAUUAUAAUUAUUGUAAUGGUUGCUGUAACUUAACUAUUGUAAUGAUUGAGCGGCCGGUGUAAUAUAUAUAUGUGUUGUGGUUCAAAUUUGGUCCGAGGGUAACUACACCGGGGGAGGCAAGGGAGCUGCCGGUUUGAGUGGAGAAAAAAGAGCCACCUCCCGUGCAACGGCAUACCUGCACAAAGCUUCACUGGUGGUUUCGGUGAGGGCCCUUUGACGCUCAAGUUAGAGUAAAUCUUAGUUGGUCUAGAAGUCUCCUUAGAUGUUAUCUGAUGGGGCUAUUUAUAGUCCCUGUUGAGGUAUCCAGGUGCAAAGAUAUGGCCCGUCCUCAUCAUGGGAGGAGAUGGGUUUUAGACAAAUGGCGCGCAGCUAGAGCUUGCUUGAGGCGUGCGGCGUAGGCCGUUCCUGUGAACGGUAAGACGUUGAUAGGUAUGACAGGGUAUGGUUGGAGAAGCAUGGCAUUGUCCUUGGCUGUCGUUGGCCAGCAAGCAAAGCAUGGCGCGGUGAAGUUCUAAUGUACGGCCAUGUAGGCAGGCGUGGGCACGCGCGUGGAUGCGAUCGUGGGCGAGGCCGAGCUCGAUGAGAGGUCGCAUCAUAUAUUCGGCGAGGUUGGCUUGGCGAGUGCCGAAGUUGGCCUAACUUCCCUAAUUCCGAGGUUUGCUCGGCAGGGCGCCCCAAGCUUGAAUGUCGGGGGGCGUCGUUGGAUGGGGCGCCCCGAACUUAGUUGGGGCAUAUCGUUGAAUAUAAAGGGCGCCCUAAAGCUCAGCCAAGGUGCACCGGCGAAUAUAAAGGCGCCCCAAGCUCGGCCAGAAUGCGUCGGUGAAUAUAAGGGCGCCCUGAGCUCGGCCAGGGCGCGUCGGCGAAUAUAAGAGGCGCCCUGAGCUUGAUCGGGGCGCGUCGGCGCAUAGUCCUACGGUUGAGGAGCUCUUGAGCUCGCAGCUAGCACAGCAGGGUGUCCCGGGCUCAGGCUCGGAACGUCAUUAUAGGCAUUAGAAGAAGUUACGACAGGUCGUAGCAGUGGGGAGGUCUGGCCGAGGUCAACUGAAUCUUCAGCGAAGUUCGAGGCCGGGCUGAUUCUGAGCAUGAGCAAGGNNNNNNNNNNNNNNNNNNNNNNNNNNNNNNNNNNNNNNNNNNNNNNNNNNNNNNNNNNNNNNNNNNNNNNNNNNNNNNNNNNNNNNNNNNNNNNNNNNNNNNNNNNNNNNNNNNNNNNNNNNNNNNNNNNNNNNNNNNNNNUAUACUAAAUAUUAUAAUACAUAAUAUCGCGAAAGUCAACCAUAGAUAUAUUAAAUAUGAUAAUAUUAUAUAUAUAUAUAUAUAUAUAAUAUUAUCAUAUUUAUCAUAACUAUAGAUGAGGAUUCGUGAUAUCAUGUAUCAUAAUAAUUAUUAUAAUUAUUGUAAUGGUUGUUGUAAACUUAAUUACUGUAAUGAUUGAGCAGCCGGCGUAAAAUAAAAAAGGAAAAAUAUAUAAUAUUAUAAUAUUUAUUAUAGCUAUAGAUGAGGAUUCGUAAUAUUAUAUAUUAUAAUAUUUAUUAUAACUAUUGUAAUGAUUACUGUAAAUUAGCCUGAUUUGCUUUUUUGAGACUUGAGAGUAUGAAAAUAGCGAGACUUUGUCAAAGGAGGGGAUAUUGCUGGUGCACCGUAGUGUAUGUCGAUUUCCACAUUUUUCCUACGGAAGGAGGCAUCACGACGCCUGGACGGCAAAGCUAAACGUCAAACGAUGUCGUUCCGAGCAUCAAUUUUUCUUUUUUCUUUUUUUGCAGGAAAUAAUCACCGUUUUUUUUUGUCUAAGUAUCAGCUUUUAGCGUCAUGCUAAAUUAGAAGGGGGACGAACCUGCAGGCAUUAUUUUAAAUUCUAGCAAAAAAUGGAGGGCAUCAUGACCAUCCUACAAUAAAAUGGGGACGAACUUUGAAACUAUCUGUAUGGAAAAGAAGGGGAAAAAAAAGAUUUAAAAAUUUUCUCGAGUAAAGAACUUUAGCCAAACUUGACUCUAAACUGUAAUCACCACCCAGGAGCGGCUCAAUAUAAUGUAUUUGGAGGCCUAAGGCCGUUUUAUUUUUGAAGCCUUUCCUGCAGUGGGCCGGCCUAAGGUGUUCAUAAGGGAGCCUUUUUUCUUUUCAUUUGUCUUCGAGGCCUUUCCUGUGGUGGGCUUUCUUUGAGCUGAGGCUUUAGGCAACCGCCUCAGUUGCCUAAGAAUUGGGCCGGCCCUACUACAUCAACACCACCACAAGCGACAUACAUGCAAUUCUCCAUGCAUCCUUCCUAGCUCAUACACCUUUGAAAGAUCCAAUCCAAAGAAAGAACUUUGCCAUGAAAUUCCACCAAGUAGCCCCUCUCAACUUGGCCUUGAAGGUUCCAAGAAUCAUCAGCCAGGUUUUUUACGUCAACUCUCCACAUAGAAAGGCCGAGAGAAACAACAUUGAUGUCUGCAGAAGUGACAUCAAAAUUAAAUGAUGCACUUGCAAGGCAUGCACCACAUUUAUAUGAAGUAUUCUUGGUGUUUUCCAAAUUAAAAUUCAUCUAUAUGUAUUUUUACAAAUCAUCACAUGCUAGGUUAUAAGGUUUUGGUCCAGUUCAUAAAACAACUGAAGCUGGGAUCAUUGCAGGAUUUCUUCAAGAUUGUUCAGCCAAAAAAUGCGCCAAGGUCAUGCAUCUUCUCAAAUACCACACAUAACUAAGCCAAGUUUGAUAAGUAUAGAAGCUUAACUUAGUUUGAUAAGAAGUUCAUUCACACCGUUGGGACAACUAGUGAUCUGAGCUACGUUGUUGAGCUUGGCUUGAGCCCGAUUAUUUAUUUGAUACUACGAGUUGAACCUGGGCAGCGUAUUUCUUGACCUAGGUUGGUCAAUUUGCAUCUGCAGCUGCUUGAAAAGAAUUUGAAUUAAUACAAAGGCAAAAUUGGACGUGUACUAGAAGUGUGAAAUCACAUUUUCUGAAAAUAGCUCUUUCUUAUUGUGGGACAAGCACGGGGAACCCUCAACCCUUAUCCAGCUUCAUCUUAUAAAGGUAAUGAGAUAGAAAAGUUGUAUCCUAAGUAGCUACUAACACGACAAAGAGAAAUUUUAUCAUACACUGGCUGUGCACCAUGCCAAUCAGGUCGCCUCAUUCCCAUAGGCCUCAUUCUUCAUACGGACAUGAUUGGUAUGGUGCAUGGCUAUAUUGGUGCAUGCGGUGCAAGAUAUAAUUUGCCCACAACAAAGCAGGUUAGUCCAUUUGCAUCUCCACGGUUAGGAUUAGCAGCCUAUUGGGCUUGCUUGGGGUGGGGUGCCUCCAAUCGUAUUCUGUAGCUUACUGCUCUCUUAUUGGUUGAUAUCAAAAAAUUUUUUAAAAAUAUGCUUCAUCUAAAGGCAAAAAUAUUUACAAUCUUCCUAUUGACAUUAAUGAGCUCUUAAUUCCUUUUGGUUUUAAAGAUAUUGAGUCUGACUUGAAUCUGAGCCAGCAAGAAUCCUAACAUGGUCCAAGUAAACCCUUUAGAGUUCAAACCCUUAUUCAUUAAGCAUGAAAACAGCUUAAGUCUCUGGGUUUGUUGAUUUUAAGUAGAUUCUGAAAUUACCCAAUCCAAUCAGUUGAAGCAAUUUUUAGUUUUCUUCACAAAAAAUGAUUUUCCAUCUCUGGGUUGGAGUUGUAGCCAAUUUUAUGGGAAAAAAGAUGCCACCAAAAGACCAUGUGGAAUUUGAGCUUGGGGCCUAUGAUUCAGGAGAAUCACCUGAUUCAUUGUGGACCAAUUUGGCUAUUAUGAGUAUUUAGGAGGAUCACCAAACUCGAUGUCGAAUACUUUGGCUACUAUGAGUAUUUAAGAGGAUUACUAGACUCGAUGUGAAACAUUUUAGCUACUACGAGUAUUCAAGAGGAUCACUAAACUCGAUAUGAAAUAUCUUGGCCACUACGAGUAUUCAGGAAGAUCACUAUACUCAGUGUGGAACACUUUAAUCCCUACGACUAUUCAGGAGGAUCACCAGACUCAGUAUGGAAUACUAUGACUACUACGAGCAGGGCUGGACACGGUUCAAAAGCAAAAUCCGCCACAUCAGGAAGGCGAGUCACAUGCCAAACUUUUGGAGCCCAUAACUGGUCAUAUGAUGCUUGAUCUUUCCGAGAUCUACAACAUUGGGCCAAAGAUUGAAUCAGACUGAAAUUCUAUCAUUUGGGCCCUAAAACGGACUGGUCAAACCAAAAAUUUCUUUUUCGGAUAAGAUUUUGACCGAGAGUAGCUCUUUAUCUGAGAAGAACAGGCAGAGCGACAGAAGGUAGAGUUAAUAUGGAAGUUGAGAUCUACUUUUUCAAAAAAAUUAACUUUUUUAAAAUAUUAUAUUUAUUUUAGAAUAUCUAGUUCUAUUCGAACUAGGAGAGAAAUCCAACCUAAAUUAUGAAAAUGCGAACCUUACUAAUAUUAUAAAUGGGGGCUAUAUACCUCAGUUUAAGAGGUGGGAUGGAUUAAUAAAAAAAAGGACUUAAAGUCUUACUUUCAAGAUUUUUCCAUCCUUUAGUUUUCUUUUGAGAGAUUUGAGUUGAGCGGGUUAAAAAAAAUCUUUCUUCUCUCCAAUCGGAUCAAGUUGAUAUCAGAGCCAUGCUCAUACAUGGAGGAAUUCCAACUUGAUCUGAUCAGAUCUAGUGGAUAUUAGAGCUUAUAGUGGAAUUCUAACUUGAUCUGAUCAAAUCAAGUUGAUAUCAGAGCUUCAGUCCUCUACAUCUAUGGGAGCCUUAGUACACAGUCCAGUUGCAUGAGCAGUACAAGCAAUUAGGAAAAGGGCUAUUCGUGCUUGAAAUAUAUUGAAGGACAAAGGUGACUAUGGAUGCUACUUCUACCUCGGUGAAUAAUGAGAUGAUGAAACGUCUCGCACAACUAAAGAAGAAGAUAGCCUAACUCAAAUUGUGUCUCGAUUGGCUACGCUUUCAACACAAGCACUAAUAACUCUAUCUUUGAGCAAAACCAAAUAGUUCGACCGUGAGGUAAGAAAACAAGCAUUUUCAUCUUUAAUUCUAAUUUAGCAGGAGCUAAAUCCUCUAAACAAUAGGAGAUCUGAUCCAAGAGAAUCACCGGACUCGCUGUAGACUAGUUUGGCUACUACAAGUAUUUAGAAGGAUCACCAAACUCAUAUGUGGACCACUUUGGCCGCCGGCUGUUCACCAUCUCUGGCUGCCAACCAAGUUCCCUAGCAUGACCCCUGAUGGUCCCGACCUCUCUUUCCUCUUUCUCUCUAGUUUCUCUCUCUUCUCCCUCUUUCUCUUUCUAUAAAGACCCAUAGAACCAAUUAUCGAGUCCCAUCUUCCUUUCCUAUGAAUCUGAGUUGACCCCUUGGUGCUCCGAAAGCCUACUGGACUGAUUACUCUAGCCUUAUAGAGUGUCUUUAAAACCCACUGAUAAUGAAACCCUUUGAAUCAUUGUGGCCAUGACCGAGUCUGUGCCCAUGAUUUAUUGAUCAAAUCGCUUAAAUCUGACCCGUCUGGAACCAUUGCACACCUAGUCAAACAUCCUUUUCUCUUGUUAUUUUAAGACUAUUAAAGUCAUUUGACAGGAAUUAAUUUUGCUUUUAAUAUUUUAAAUAUAUUUAAUAGAUUCAUCUAAUGAUAAUUUAAUAGCUUCAUCUAAUGAAAUAAUUUUGCUUUUAGAUAUUUUCAUAUAUUUAAUAGAUUUUUUCUCUUUAUUAUUUUCUAAUUAUCAUGUUUUUCAUGCAUAUGGUUUGUUCGUGAAGAUACCAUAUUAUUCUUACAAUUAUAGAUCAACAAAUAUUAUGAAAAUUUUGCUUUGUUAUGAAAUGCGGUUUUAUGAUUGGUUUUAAUGAAAAUAAUAUGUUUAUGAAAUAUAAAUCUGAUCAUGCAAUUUAAUAAUUUUUUAUCUACUUAUGUGUAUGUUUUAAGAAAAAAAUAUGAAUAUUUCGACAGCUCAAUUAAGUAUAUAUAUCUCAUAGAAUUGGAGAAGAUCCACACUCGGAGCUAUCAUCCGCACGAACACAGGCCCUACCAACAGUAUAAAGUUGGCAUAUCAAACAUUAUACUCUGUUGAUUACGAAUACAUGUCUUGAGUAUAAAAUAAUCUUAGCAUGAAUAUCUAUAUGGUAGAAAAAUGAUUUAUUAAUUUAUUUGUAAUAUAAAUUUGGCGGAGGAGGAGGAGGAGGAGGCGGCGGUGGGAGGAGAGAAAGAAAGCGGAGGUGCGGGAGAAGUGAAGAAGAGACGGUGGUGCAUGGAAACCCAUUCCUCGUCUGCUUCCCCCAGCCCCGAGGUCCACGGUGAAGGCUGCGGUCGCCGCUCCAGAAGAAUCCCAUCCUGUUUUUAAUCAUUUAAUUGAUGGGAAGCCACUGCCGUAUACCCCAAAAAUGCCUUUCUAAACGAAAAACCUAAAAAACAGCUUCCCAAACAAAAUAUGAGAUCAUAGCAAUUGCGCACAUAAGAUUCAAUCCUUCAUAGAGGUACAAUACAAUCUACUCGAAAAGAGCAGUUGGUUAUUUUAUGGGAAGGUUUAAAGAAGUAGUCUGAUGCUCACACAGCUGUUCAUUCAUGAGAAACUACAACCAACUGUUUACCAACAUUGCGGCCUGCAAAGAGCCCCACCAGUGCUGCAGGAGCAUUCUCAAGUCCUUCAGCUUUAUCCUCCACAUAAGUGAUCUUCCCAUCCUUCAUAUACGGGCAAUGAUCUACCUCAAACUGAUGAUANNNNNNNNNNNNNNNNNNNNAAGGUUGUAUUGAGAAAUCAUUCCACACACCGCGAUCCGACCAUGGGUCCUCAUGUUGAUAAGAACAGCAUCCAGCAUCGGACCACCAACAUUCUCGAAGUAGAUGUCGAUACCUUCGGGAAACAUCCUGAAAAGAAAGACUUCAUUAGAUUGUUGUUGGAAAGAAAUUGCUACUGCUCUUCUUCACACUGUAAAAUUAAAUGACCGAACAAACUAUACUCAGGGGACAGAGCUAUCUAUCUAAUACCAGCUUGCCACUAUUUAUAUUAUUAUAACAACAGAUUCUCUUUGGUCCAAUAUAUAGAGAAGAAAUCUCCACAACCAGGGUAUAUGACAGUCCAAAUAAUUUGAAGGCAACUCCAUGUUCUCCAAACUACAAUAACUAGACCAUGGAUGGACCUGCAUUAUGCAAACAUCCUGCAUAAAAGCGCCCGCCAAUCACGGAUCAUCACAAAUUCCAUUGCAGAGAUUUUCAGAAAUCAGGACAGUUGGAAUUGAAGCUAAGAUGCAUAACAUACACAGGCAAGACCCAUGACAGAUACUUGUCUCAGUUGUCUGUGUCAUGUAAUUCCAUGCAUCACUAAGAGUUUAAGGCUGGAUGCAGAACACUAGUUUCAUAAACCAUCAGUUCUCUCGAGAUAAAAAAAAAAAAGUCAGUUAAAAAAAGAAGAAGCAACCAACCUCUUUAAAGCUGCACUCAAGUCUGGCUCCUUCUUAUAAUUAAAAGCCUCAUCAAAACCAAACUUGUUCUUCAAUAAGUUAACCUGAGUAGACAGUGCCAAAAAGGAAGUUGAGCAAUCUUAAACAGAAGAGGCAUAGGUAAAAUGCAAUGAGAACACAAAAUCUCUCUCAGGACUGUAGUGCCAAAAAAGAAAUUGAGUGAUGCUUAAACAGAAGAGGCAUGAGUAAUAUGCAUACGAUAACACAAAAUCUCUCAGGACUAGUGCUUUGUUUCACUAAAGCUGAAUAUGUACAAUUUUCUUCUCUGCAACCACAAUCAUAUCCAUUAUACCUCUUCGACCUCAUGUUAGUCAUAAGAAAACAGAAAAAGAACACAUCCACUGUGAAACAUUUCAGGUUAUCGAUGGUGCAUUCUUCUAGGGAUUGGGGACCUACAAAAUUGUAGCAUUUUUCAAUAUCCAAGCCCCCGAGCUUGCUUGCAUAAUAAAUUGCAGCUGAAAAGGGAUCUAAGGAAAUUUGAUCUGAAGGGCUCCCAGAAACACUCCUAUUAUCUAUAUUCGAAAAACAAAAUUUGGGUAACCUGAAUCCAAUACAUGAAACCUCAAGUAAACAACUAAUAGGUGUACUCUGUUAAAAAUUGCUCUUAUUAAUUUUUAUGUGCAGGUUCUAACCUCAUGCCUGAUCAAUUUUUUGUAUUUCUUAUGUGUUUCAGAAAUUCUUCUUAUCCAAAAUUUGAGAACCCAAGUCACAGUCUUACAAACCUUUUCAUCAGAACCAGCACUUCCAACCACGUAACAGCCCAUUAAUUUGGCAAGCUGCCCAACAAGCUGUCCAACGGCACCUGAUGCAGCAGAGACAAAGACAUAUUCCCCUUUCUUUGGCGAGCUGAUCUCAUGAAAUCCAAUAUAAGCUGUGAACCCUGCCAUGCCUGAAUAUGAAAAUAGUGAUGUCAGAAGCCAUAUGACAAAUUGCACGGGAAGCACGGAAACUAAGGAACAGAACUAUUCUACCAAAGUUCAGUGACAUUCUUUUUCUUCACCAUAGUGAUUACUUGAUCUACAUCUGGUUUAGUACACUUGUGGACUCUCUCGGCUUGAUGCACAAAGCUGAUAAUUGAAACCACCUUAAUCAUUGAAAAAAUAAAUCUAAUUUACACUGAGCUUUUCACUUGUUUGACUUUUUUUUUUUUUUCUGAACAUGGUUUCAGGUAUCUGCCUCAGCAGGCAAUCCUUGAUCCAGAUGAUAUAAUUCACAUAUGGCCUUACUUAUCCCUGAACAUUUCCAUUAUCAUUAAUAGGUAAUACCAAAGAACUAAAAAAAAAACUAACAUUGAUAUUCCAUAGUCCAUACAAUGUUAGAUGUUAAUGAUUUUCAGUAUCAUUUUGCCAUUCUUGCAAGAUUUACAACCACAGUUGUUAAACAAUAAUGUAAUACAACUGUCAAAUCAGAAGAACCUUAAAGUAACAUAUUGCGAUAUCAAAGAACGGCUACUGUUUAAUGGUUAUGUACUCAACAUAUUCGGAUGGCGAAUACCAGAUUUGUAGGCAUUUUGCUGAACAAACAACUUACCAAGAAGGCCAGUGUAAUAGGAAAGGGGUACAUCAGUGUAUCUGAUCUUGAAAAGCAUCUCUGUUUCUGUGAUGAGGCUAUACUCUUCCCAUCCAGUCAUGCCCCACACAAAGUCACCUACCUUGAAAUCUGGAUGGCGAGAAUCCACCACUUUACCUACACCAAAACCAGUUAUGACCUGUACAACGAAAGAAGAAAAAAGAUGAACUUGGAGAAACAGGGAACCUCAAAAUGUAAGCCCACAUAAGUAGAAGUUCCAUAAUGGUAAUAUUGUCCGAAACAGCUUUAGCUUGAUUGGGGAAAUGGAUGGCCUUUUACUUCAUCAAGUUCAAAAAUACUAGCUGUUAUUUGAGCUCUAAUGAUGUAGCAAACAUGAAUUACAGAGAAUAUGACUCUUUAACACAAUGUAGGAUCCAUAUGUAUUAUUUCUACAAUUAUAAAGAUGAAAUUCUAACCAUUGCUUUUCAAAUUAUAUAUGUCCUUCCGCAUAAAUUUACUACUGACAUGUUUUUCCUCUCUUGACCUGCCAAUUUAGCCUUAUCAUCUGACCCAAGCAUCUAAGUUAUAUUACUAUAGAACUAACAAUAUAAUAUGAGUCAAAUUUUUGCAUGGUAAAAGCUUAAAUAACUAGAAAUCAAAGAUUCAUAUGUGCUGCAACCGUGCUGGUGGCGCGUGACACUACGCCAUGACAUGUCACGUACUGUCACACCCCCGAUCCGAGAUCGUGAGCGGGGGGUCGCGUCAACUGCUACAUACUUAUAGUGAACUCUCUCCACAAGCAGCCAUCUCAAAUGAUAUCAUGAAUAUGAAACGAAAUUUUAACUAAUAAUAUGCAAACUUAAAUAUGAUUCACACUCAUAAUUCAUUAUCCUAACAUUUUCUAUGAUUUUUUUUUCUAUAAACUUCUCUACCCAGCGCGCUCUUGCCAUUUCUUGUUCAAAUAACAUAUUUAAUUGUGCUUUUUUUUCAAAAGUCGUAACUACUGGACUGCAGAACGAGUCAGUGCGUGUAGUAUAUGAUACAGGUAACAAACAAAACUGUACAAUAAUCUUAAUGGCAUCUAAUUUAAGCACAACUGUACCAUGAAGUUGUCGGAUACUACUUUUAUUCGAAUAAUCAAGUAUAUGACCCCGGUCACAAACAAAAGGACCAAUUAAUUCAAACCCCAGACCCCCAUAACAUUACCGACCCUAUCAGCUACCAUUCCAUCUCUUCAUCCUCCAAAACCAGGCCUUAAAAACUUAGAUCGAAGAUUCCAUAAACAGCUACCAUAACUCUUAAGAAAACAUAAGAGAAAUAAGUUGUAGAAACAAACAAAAAAAAUAAAAAAAUUGAAAGAGAGAGAGAGAGAAGAGGAGUCUUAUUGUAUAUUAUAUUUAUAAGGUAUACCGAGCCGGGGACGGAGGGGGGCUCGUCGUGCUUUCUCAUACGCCAUAGCGUAUAAGGGUCGCAGGAGAGGUACAUGUUCUUGAGCAGCACCGCCUUGGAUCCCUCGGGGACCUUUAAUCGGACGGUGUCCGUCGUCACGAUCUCCAUGUCACUCUCCUUGGGGAAACCCGUUAUGAAGUCCUUGAGCACAACCUUCUUGUUCGCCCUCACCUCCGCCAUCGCGCUCUCUCUCUCGCUUCCUCUCCCUUUGCGGGCUUUAGAUAGAAGCCUAUGGCCGAGGAUUCCUGAUAUUAAAUACUCCACGUAGAAGGCUCUAGAAAGACUAAACCAUGCAUAAAUGUAUCAAUUCACCAAAAUCUGAAAGACUAAACCAUAAAUAUUGAGGUCACUGCGCAUGUCACUGCAUCAAGCCCGUUUGAAACUCUUACGAGAGUCCAAGGGCCUCACGUUUUGGAAAAGUGUCUAAUAACAAUAUCAAUGGAAAUUACAAGAAAGUCUAAUAAUGUCUGUGCUGGCUUCCUACGGGAGGAGGCAUGGUCCAUCACGACGCUUGGAAGGCAACGCCUCGACGCAAAGCUAUACAGGCACUUUUUGAAGGGCAAAACCGCGAGAAAGGCUUCUACCUGCCCUAAAGCGGACGAUACCUUCUGUAGGGACGCAUCCUCCUUUCUUGCUCUAAUAGAUGGUGUGGUGAGCAUGGACCCUUCAUAGAUCCCGCACGAAUUCUUUCCGCUGGAGAGCUAGUGUUGGGGGUGGAGAGGGUCAGGAACUUAAUCCUACAUCAAUUGAGUAGUGAAAAGGAUUGUGCAAAAAUAUUUUUUCUCAGAAAAGCGUCUUUUGAAGGACAAAACCGUGAGAGAGUUUUUUUGGCCGAAGUAUCAACUUUUAGCGUCAUGCUAACUUUUUUGUCCUGUAGGGAUGCUGCGGCCGCCAUUGUGGAACGUGACCAUAGACCUUGUUGUAGGAAAUGCGUAAACCUAUACCGCAGAAUCAUAAUAUGGCAAUUGGCAAGUGGUCACCAAUUUAAGAAAUAGAUUUUGUGGGGUCCAAGAAAAUGAUGUCAGAAGUGACAUCAAAAUUAAAAUUCAUCUAUAUGUAUUUUUACAAAUCACCGCAUGCUAGGUUAUGAGGUUUUGGUGCCACACGGUUCAUAAAACAACUGAAGCUGGGAUCAUAACAGGUUUUCUUCAACAUUGUUCAGCCAAAAAAUGAGCCAAGCUCAUGCAUUUUCUCAAGUUCCACACAUAACUAAGCCAAGUUUGAGGGUUUUGGAAAUGCAAAGACAUAUAAGAAGCUCAUUCACACCGUUGGGACAACUAGUGACCUGAGCUAUGUUGUUGAGCUUGGCUUGAGCCCGAUUAUUUAUUUGAUACUACGAGUUCAGCCUGGGCAACUUAUUUCUUGUCCUAGGUCGAUCAAUUUGCAUCCACAGCUGCUUGAAAAGAAUUUGAAUUAAUACAAAGCCAAAAUUGAAUCCGUACUAAAAGUGUGAAAUCACAUAUUCUCAUAAUAGCUCUUUCUUAUUGUGUGAGAAGCAUGGGGAACCCUCAACCCUUAUCUAGUUUCAUCUCAUAAAGAUAAUGAAGACCUAUUCUCAUUUUCACAUAUCCUCAUUUCUUUUAUGAAGACCUAUGGAUCUAAGUAUCGAGUCCCAUCUCCUUGUCCUUGGACCCCAAUUGACCUCUGCAAAGAUCUCCUGAACCGCCUUGGUGCUCGGGCAACCAAUGGACCGAUUACUCUAGUCUUGUAGAGUGUCUUUAAAACCCACUAAUAAUGAACCCCUUUGAACGAUUUUAGCCUUGACCGAGUCCAUGCCCAUGAUUUAUUGAUCAAAUCGCUUAAAUCUAACCCAUCCGGAACCAUCGCACGCCCGGUCAAACUUCCUUUUCUCUUAUUAUUUUAAGACUAUUAGAGUUAUUUGAUAGAAAUUAAUUUUGCUUUUAAUAUUUAAAAUAGUUUGACAAAUUCAUGUAAGGAAGUUUGACGAUUUAAGGUGAAAGAAGUAAGUAAAUCUUACACUCCUUAUUAUUUUCAAAUUAUCAUAUUUUUAAUGCAUAUGGUUUGCUAUGAGUGGUUUUAAUAAAAAUAACAUGUUUAUAAAAUAUGAAUCUGAUCAUGCAAUUUAGUAAUUUUUCAUCUACUUAUGCGUAUGUUUUAAAAAAAAUAUUUGAAAGCUCUCAGAUAACUAUUUACAAACCUAAAGAAUUGGAAAAAAUCAACAUCCAAAGCUAGUAUCUAUAUGAACAGAGGCCCUGCUAAAAGAUACAAAAUUGACAUACGAAACAUAAUAUUGCAUUGAUUAUGGACACGUGCCCAGGAUAUAAAAUAAUCUUAGCAUGAAUAUCGAUGCGUAAUAUUUUGAACUAUUAUAUAUAUAUAUAUNNNNNNNNNNAUGGUAGAAGAAUGAUUUAUAAAUUUAUUGCCAAUAUGAGCUUGGCGGAGGAGGAAGAGGGAGGUGAGAGGAGAGCCUUCUCAAGGAGGGAAAGGGAGUGGAGAUGCAGGAAAAGUAGAUUGGGGAGAGGAGGAAGAAGAGGCGGUGAUGCUGGAAGCGAAGAUCUCCUCUUCUUCUUCCUCCUCUCCCCACUCAUCAUCUUGGACCGGAGCCCCAUGAAUAUGAUCCGUGCCAUCCCACAUGGCGUCCGAGCCCUUUAGCGAUGACAAUGUCCGUCCUCCUAGCUUUCUCCCACCCUCCGUCUUAUCUCCAAAUCCGAAGCUCCUUCAUUGCCUCCUCCACUCCCUAUCUCCUCCUUUGCCUCGUCUGCCUCCCCCCCGCCCGAGGUCCACGGUGAAGGCCGCGGUCGCCGCUCGAGAAGAAUCGCAUCCUGUUUUUAAUCAUUUAUUUGAGGGAAAGCCACUGCUGUUCGCCAAGAUCACCCGCAAGGGAGAACGAAAUAUAUGAAGGGAAAGGGGAGCCCGGAUUGCAAUAUAGAAAGGUGGGCUAGACUCCUAGUUUCAUUAUCACUGGCAUUGAUUGAUGCCUAUCAGAAAACUCUUCAUGAAAUUGUUCUCAAAUACCAAUGAGAAGAGUAUUAAAUGAGGAUAUCUCAUUUCAGUCUUUCAUCAUCUACGUGUAAGAGUUUGCAUGGCUCUUAUCUACAUCAUCCGUUUAAUUCCAUGAAUUCCUAUCUUCAUGAUAAGAGGUUAAUUUCCAUAAGCUCUUGACUUUUGUGGGCUAGCAUGCCAGUCAAAUAAUCCCUGAUCUUUCAUAGGAGAAACAAUGGCAUUUUAUGCUGAUUUUAGCAAGGACUUUUUGUUGGUGCACUUUCAUUGAAAAGGAUCAAAAGAGGCAUUCAUGGAAGAUGGGACUAUUCAUAAGAGCACGGAGGGGAGACAUUCAAAAGAAUAAUUGUGACAGACUAGACUAGACCAGACCAGCCUGCAAAUAUCCAGCCAAAUUCACUCCCAGUAGAAUGAGCAGCAACAUUUACCCCAAAAAUGUCUUUCUAAACGAAAAACCUCAAAAACAGCUUCUCAAACAAAAUAUGACAUCAUAGCAAUUGCGCAAGUAAAAUUCAGUCCUUCAUAGAGGCACAAUACAAUCUACUUGAAAAGAGCAGAUGGUUAUUUUUUAGGAAGGUUUAAAGUAGUCUGAUGCGGACACGAUUGUUCAUUCAUGAGAAACUACAACCAACUUUUUACCAACACUGUGGCCUGCAAAGAGCCCCACCAGUGCUGCUGGAGCAUUCUCGAGUCCUUCAGCUUUAUCCUCCACAUAAGUGAUCUUCCCAUCCUUUAUAUACUGGGCAAUGAUCUCCUCAAACUGAUGAUAUUUAUGAAAAAAAUCGAAAACCAGGAACCCUUCCAUUCUG